CCACGCUCCGGCUCCAGCCCCGAAACCUCGAACCACGCCACCGCCCCACUCCGACUCCGACCCCCAAACACGCUCGCCGACCGCGACCGGGAGGCGCCGGGAUCCACGGGGAGCUCCACCGCCCCCUGCUUGACCGCUCAGCGUGACGGCCGGCUGGCUGGCUGGCAACGAGGGCGAGGCUGCAGCGAGAUCGACGAUCGGCUCGGCUCGGCUGGUCGCGACGACGAGCUCGCGACACGGGAUCGGUUGGCGGCCGCGACGCUAACGACGGCGGCACGCUGAGGCACUGAGCAAGCUUCAUGGUAAACUCUCGAAGUUGAAGUAGAGAACACGCUAGGAUGGCCAUUCGGUGUUUCUAUGCUACUCUGGUCCAAAUCCUUCUCUGCCUUAUGCUCUGUCAGCCAUGCUAUAGCACAGUAACUGACAUCCAAUGUCUGAAGAGGUUGAAGGCAUCCGUUGAUCCAAACAACAAGUUGCAUUGGACAUUUGAUGACAACAAAGAAGGAUCCAUAUGCACUUUUAACGGCGUGGAGUGUUGGCAUCCUAAUGAAAACCGGAUUCUUUCUCUUCGGCUUAGCAGCAUGGAUCUGAAGGGCCAAUUCCCUGAUGGGCUCGAGAAUUGUAGUAGCAUGACAUCGCUGGAUCUAUCGAGCAACAGCCUUUCCGGGCCAAUCCCGGUUGACAUCUCAAAACGGCUUCCAUACAUCACAAACCUUGAUCUCUCGUAUAAUAGCUUCUCAGGGGAGAUUCCAGAAUCGCUAGCUAACUGCACUUAUCUCAAUGUUGUCAGUUUACAAAAUAACAAGUUGACUGGUGCAAUCCCAGGGCAGUUUGCUGGUCUUUCUCGCUUAACCGAGUUUAAUGUUGCUAACAAUAAAUUAUCAGGCCAGAUCCCACCAUCUUUGAGCAAAUUCUCAUCAUCCAAUUUCGCAAAUCAAGACCUCUGUGGGAAACCUCUGAGCGGUGAUUGCACUGCCUCUUCAAGCAGUCGUACAGGUGUGAUUGCUGGUUCUGCUGUUGCUGGUGCGGUCAUCACUUUAAUCAUUGUUGGUGUGAUUUUAUUCAUUUUCUUGCGGAAAAUGCCUGCCAAAAAGAAGGAAAAGGACCUGGAAGAAAAUAAGUGGGCGAAGUCUAUCANNNNNNNNNNNNNNNNNNNNGUAUCAAUGUUUGAGAAAUCAGUUUCAAAGAUGAAACUGAAUGAUCUGAUGAAGGCAACAUGUGAUUUUACCAAGGAAAACAUUAUUGGAACUGUUCAUUCCGGAACUAUGUACAAAGCUACACUUCCUGACGGUUCAUUCCUUGCUAUCAAGAGGUUGCAAGAUACUCAGCAUUCAGAGAGCCAAUUCACAUCCGAGAUGUCAACAUUGGGAAGCGCUAGGCAACGCAACUUAGUUCCACUAUUAGGUUACUGCAUUGCUAAGAAAGAGAGGCUCUUGGUGUACAAGUACAUGCCCAAGGGUUCACUCUAUGAUCAACUACACCAUGAAGGCAGUGAUAGAGAGGCUCUGGAAUGGCCAAUGAGGCUAAAAAUUGCCAUUGGGGCUGGUAGAGGGUUGGCGUGGCUUCAUCACAGUUGCAACCCCCGCAUUCUUCACCGCAAUAUUAGCUCCAAGUGCAUACUACUUGAUGAUGACUACGAGCCUAAGAUUUCAGAUUUUGGGUUGGCAAGGCUUAUGAAUGCAAUCGACACCCACCUGAGCACAUUCGUCAAUGGCGAGUUUGGCGACUUGGGUUAUGUAGCUCCUGAGUACACGCACACCCUUGUUGCCACGCCAAAAGGGGAUGUCUAUAGUUUUGGUGUAGUCUUGCUUGAACUGGUCACCGGCGAAGAGCCCACGCGCGUAUCAAAGGCCCCAGAAAAUUUCAAAGGGAGUUUGGUAGAUUGGAUAACAUACCUAUCAAACAACUCUAUACUUCAAGAUGCGGUGGACAAGUCCCUGAUCGGAAAGAACAGUGACGCUGAGCUGCUUCAAGUUCUGAAGGUCGCCUGUUCCUGCGUGCUUUCUGCUCCAAAGGAAAGACCUACAAUGUUUGAAGUGUACCAGCUUCUGAGAGCUGUUGGGGAGAAAUACCAUUUUAGCGCUGCUGAUGAUGAACUGGCGCUCCGACCGCAGGAUGCCGACUCUAAGAAGCUGGAUGAGCUUAUUGUAGCGAAAUAGACGGGCCUGUGUGGUACAUUGAUGCUGGGUGUUUGUUGUAUCUUGUGAAUGAUCAGGUUGAUAUAUGGUAGUAAUGUACUAUCUGGACCCGUCGCUAGCGAAACUGUCGGAAGCUCGAUCAAUGCUCAUGGUCCUGGAAAUAGCGUGUUGUUGUAAGAUGUGUAUGACUUGUGAUGUUCACGUUCUGUACUUGCUCAGUCUGUAGUGCAUCUUUGGGAUUAUGUAACUGGUGUGUGAGACGGACAAACCUCUCACGUUUUUUUGUAGAAGUACGUAGUUUGCAGUCC
rnacentral:rRNA from 1 species